rnacentral:lncRNA from 1 species
GAAAAAAAAUCUAAAUUGGGCUGCCUGUCGAAACACAUCCUUACUGCCUUGUGUAGUUGGUAUAUCAGUUGGGUGUAUGUUUGGCUGUGUUUAGACAUGCAGUCCAAUUCUGAUAUUUUUUUCACUAAUUGGUCUUUUGACCAUCAGAUCAGCUCUGAAAAAGAGCUGAUGUGAAAAUAUCUGAUGUGAUUGAUCAAAAGACCAACUAGCUGGGGGAAAAAAUCAGAAUUGGGCUGCCUGUAUGAAAAUGCAGUCGUCAUCACUGUUUGCUUGAUUGAUCAUGUUCAGCUGCAUGUCAUUGUGAUGUCAUAACGAUAGCCCUCUUGUUUGGAUGAAUUUCUUAAGUCUCUGAUUGGGAAGAUCUCAAUUGCAUACUCUUCGCGUCCUCUCUCCUUGUCUCCUUCUCAAAACCAAUUGGAUGAGAAAGCCAGAGGUCCCGCCCCUCUGAUCUUCUUCUUCAAUGAGUUUUGAGAAGGAGGUGAGGAGAGAGGACGCGAGGAGUAAGCAAUUCUCCCCUUAACUUCUUCCUUCCUCUCUCCUAGCCUUGAUUGAUUUAAAAUCUGUUCUCUCAACACAGACAUACAGCUGAAUGUGAUCAAUCAAUGAGCCAGUGAUCGGAUGGCAAUUGCAGGUUCAGGCAAUAAAUACACACCCAGCUAAUAGGGCAACUAAGCAAGACAGUAAGUCACAGUGGGCCUAUAGUUUCACCUUGGCAACUAUAGUGGUGGCUUGUCUGUUGGUACUUAGAUAUGGCUUUUGGAAUUAAUUUGUGGAUUGUGUUGCUUUGUUCCAUAUUCUCUGAACCUUUAAGAUCUGCUUGUGCUCCACAUGAUGCCCAGAGGUUAAGAGGCUACAUGUAUUCUGGCUCUUCCCAAGUGGAAGAUGAACAGAAACAACCAAGUGAUGGCUAUUCUCAGGAUCAAAUCAAAACAGCUUUUAGUACUUCAGGUUCUGUCCAGAGUGACGCUACUCCCAGAGAGACUGGACCCAACACCCAUAACCAGGAACUAUCCCCCAGAGGCUAUGCUUCAAGCUCGAUCCAGCCUGCCCCAAGAAUGUUAGGCCUCUCUGGCUCUAUAGCCAGUAGAACCUCUGUCAGCCACAACAAGCGUCACACCCUUGCCAGUAUAACCUCAGGCCAAGGUGUCACCAACCCUAGUGCAGUGAGGAUGGUUUCAAGUUGGGACGCAAAGGGAAUCCAGCCCAAAACCUUUUCGUUACAGCCUCGUUCAAGCAACUCUGGAUCUGUUCAGAAAUUCCUGGGAAGCCAUUUAUUCAAGUCAACCCCCCAGAAUUCUGUGGCACAAAGUGGAAUUGACCAGUCCGUAAGGGAAAUGGCUUCCACCCCUUACCUUCAAGCUCCCUCACGUGGUUCUUCAGGGACUUCAUUUAGACCAGGUCCUCUGCAUUUUGGGUCUACUGAAGGUGGGAGUGCAACAAAUGUGUACAAGCCCAUCUUUUCUCAAUAUGUCAAGCCAUACCAGAGCAGCUAUGCUUCUGCCAGUAGUGGUUCAACUUCUAGUCAAUAUGCCCAGAGAAUAGAUGGAGCGUCCAGAAGCAGCAGUAUCCCUACAUCUAGCCUGGCGUCUAUCUCCAGUGUCUUUACGCCUAGUAGAAACUCCUAUGGAACCUACAAGCCUGGCUCUAUCCUUGGUGCAACACCACGCCAGAGCCUGUUUACCUCUAACCAGGGUGGCAGUGGUUCACUCUACAGCCAGAAUGUCCUUGCCACCAACCAGAAACCAAGCAGCACUACACCUGCCAAAAGCAACCACAGGCAAGUCUCUGGUCAGAUGGGGUACUACCAGCCUAGCUAUGUUGCCAGUAGUGGGCCAAUCACCAUCCUCUACAGUUCUGCCCAGGCUGGCAGUUCUUCAACCCAUGUCCAGAAACCAAGCAGCUCUAAAGCUGCCCCCAGGCAAAGCUAUACUCCCAAUGCUGUGAAGUCAAUCCCUAGCUAUGCCAGAGGACCUAACCAGAGCAUUUUCUUUAACCUCCAUGGCCCUACCCAGAGCAGGACCAGCACACCUCAAAGCUUUGCACUGGUCUCCAUCUACAACAUCCCAGCACGCUACGGUGGCACUCAUAUCCGUCGGCUCCAAGACCGUAUUCCUAGUGGGCGUAGUGCCUCCACUAGCCACUCCAAAACCAGCUCAAGUGUUAACAAGCCACAGCAAAACCACACUCCGCCUGCCAAGCAGGAAGGCCCCAGCACUGCCUACGUCCAAGUCUCACGCUCUACUAGAUGAGAGCCCAGAACAUGACUAAGUGAGAGCUGUAACCACCAGUUGAGGUGCUGAGACCAUGAUGUGAUGCCAGGCGUUUUACUUCAAUGGUUUCAAUAAAUAACGUUUAAUCUAAGUUCAGUCUUGCUGUUACUGUAUCCAUUACACUUCUUUCAGAGAUCUUUACUGACAUGUCUGCUUGGUCCAGCAGGACUUUUUGUAUGCUGGCAUUUGAUAAUAUUUUUGCGUGACUGGAUCUUUACAAUGAGCCUGAAGCUGUGUAGGGCUUAACAUUUAAUGCUGCUACAUUCACCCCAGGCAGCUGGGGAGACCCAGGGUGCACUUCAGGUUCUAACGCAACUUGACUUUGUACAUUACAACCAUCAAAGUGGAUUAUGUAUUUUUCCAGAAACUCAUUCUCUUAUUUGACCCCUGAUAUGUUGUCUUUUUGUUGGUGCCAAUGAACAUGACAUUUCUGUUCUUAAUUGUCCCUUAUGAGCCCUACAUUUUGCCUUAAUACCAUAUGUUGGCUUGACAAAUGUAUUAUGAAUGGCCUUAACUGAGACUACAGUAAUAGAACGGCGGUGUUGUCAUUGAGGUGUUUUAUAACCCAGUGUCUUGGUUUGUUGCACCUGGAUUUUCACUUUGCAAACCUACCUUGAAUGUCACUGUUUGUGCCUGCUUGACCAAUUUGACUCAUUAACUCGGUAGUAUAUUACAUAUGUAAUUACCCUUCCCACCAGUUAUGUAGGAUGCUUCUCUAACACAUCUGUCUGGCAGGUGUCAAUCUGUUAAUGAGAGGCUUAUUAAUGUCCAGUCCUGGAUGAGCAGGAGGAGCCGGUGUGUUUCUCAUCAGGCCUUGUAUCCAUGAGGAUAUCUGUCCCACUUUCACCCUCAUCUCCUAAUCAGACACAUGGCAUUGCUAAACCACCUAGGUUCAGAUGGUGUUCAGUCAUUCCAAGUCUUCCUCUGUGCUUGGUUAACUGUUCCUGGCUCAGUGGAACCAAAAGAAUAAUACCAAGGGUACAAACCAAUAUCUGGCAUUCCAGACAGGAUCAAGCGCAAACAAAGUAUUUGAAAGAUAUCAAAUACAGUUUGAUCACAGGUCUGACUAGUUAGCCGUGGAGUUAAGAUUCAGAAUGUUUCCUUACAUUUGAGAUGUUAGAUUAUUGUUCACCUGUUUUGACAUUUACAGUGAGGUGUAUGACGAGCCAGGAAGGGAACAACAGAUUUACCCCUGUCUGUCACAGUUAAAGAAAUGGAGAGAGAGCGACACCUUGCAUGCAUUGACCAGCCAUGUGUGGUGGUUCAGAUAAAAGCUAUGCUAUUUCCUGCCAGAGGAAGUGGCAGAGGCACAGAGGGAAAUCUUUCAGGAGCUGUUUCGUUUCCUCUUUUUCCAUCAUGCCUGGGAACAUUCAUAACA